CUCACACACGAGCCCUGUGCUGCACUUCACGCACGGCAGACCCGCGGCGUUCAAGCCCCGCGUUGUGCAUAUGCCGGGACGGCGACUGCCUCUCGGGUCAGGCACCUGGCCAGACCCCGUCCGGCCUGCCUGGAGAGGGCUGUAAUGCAUAAUAUGUCGACCCCCCAAGAGAUCUGGGUAGCGGGGUUUUAGAGCUGGGCUCUCUCCCGUUGGAACGUGAGCGAAUGGGUUCGAGGGUUCGCCCCGUCAGGUGGGAAGAGCCGAGCCGCACGUCCGGCAGGACGCAAAAUGGAGGCGAGGCCUUCGCAGGCGGCUCCGGGCUGAGGCGUCGCAGCAAACGGCUUGAGGGGCUGAAGACGUUCCCUAAAGAACAGUGGGCAUCUGAGCAGAUGAAUAUUCCAGAAUUCUAUGCAGCCAACCAUAAGAGCUCUGCGGCCGUUCACCUGACUGCAGCAGAAUCGAGGCUUGAUGGUUACGGUGGGUGACAGAAGAGGGGCCGUUGGAAGUGCUAUUAUGCAGUUUGCACGGGAAGAUUUCAGCACAUUUCAGCUUUAUCUAGUUAUGCUAGAAUUUGGUCAGUUAUUUAAAACAAAAGAUAAAAAUAAAAAAACACUGUAUUAUAGUGAAAAUGUUUAUCAGAUGAAGAGCUCAGCUUUAACAACACGCCUUGCCAAAAAGCUUUGCAAAUCGUUCCUCACUUGGGAGCAUGUGAGAAAGGGCUGUAAUAAGAAUAGCUGAGAUUUGCUGGAGCCAAAGCUUACGGAAAGAAGAAUCUGCAGGUUUAAAAAGUUACUUCCUUCUAAGAUGCUACAAGCAAUUCCACUGGCAGAUCCCCAUUCAUGUACCAUAUAAUUGUUUCCUGAUUUGGGAUACCAAAAUGAUAAAAAACAUAUGAGGUUUGAGUAUAGAGUAAUGAGGCACCAAUCUUACAAACAGACCCAAACUUACAUUUUCAAAUCAAUCUUUUCAUUCAGAGGCAUCACCUCCAGAGUCUAUACCCAUUCCAUUUGUAUGGCCAUUCUUCUCUUUAAAAUUACUCUCUUGAUGGACAUCCUGUUUACAAAUCUGUAAUGAGUCCCAAUUAUCAUAUAUUGAGAGAAUUUGUAUUAUCAUUCAGGGACAGUAUUGGUGAACAGAUAGGUGACCUAGCUUGUUUUAGGUAAAGAAGAGAAAGAAAAAGAAGAGAAAGGUUAUAGGAGCCUGGGUGAUAUAAUCAUGUGGCCAGUCUUCUUGUGUGAAUCAUGAACAUAUUCAGAAGAUUAUUCUGAAAGAUGAAUUUCAAAAUAAAUUUUGAACAAAGAGUAGUUUUGGUGAACUG
rnacentral:lncRNA from 1 species